GAUGAACGCUAGCGGCAGGCCUAACACAUGCAAGUCGAGGGAGAAGCCCUUUCGGGGGCAGAAACCGGCGCACGGGUGCGUAACGCGUAUGCAACCUACCUUUCACAGGGGGAUAGCCCGAAGAAAUUUGGAUUAAUACCCCAUAAUAUUAUUGGAUGGCAUCAUUUGAUAAUUAAAACUGCGGUGGUGAAAGAUGGGCAUGCGUCCUAUUAGCUAGUUGGAGUGGUAACGGCACCCCAAGGCUACGAUAGGUAGGGGUCCUGAGAGGGAGAUCCCCCACACGGGGAAUGAGACAGGGACCAGACUCCUACGGGGGGCAGCAGUGGGGAAUAUUGGGCAAUGGUCGGAAGACUGAACCAGCCAUGGCGGGGGGAGGAAGAAUGCCUUUGGGGUUGUAAACUGGUUUUAAAUGGGAAAAAUAAGGGUUACGUGUAAAUUGAUGGCGGUACCAUAAGAAAAAGCAUCGGCUAACCCCG
rnacentral:rRNA from 1 species